ACUAAUAGUUGGAAAGUACCGUUGAAGCAGGAAAAAUUAGUCCGUUGGAGUUCACCCCUCUGUAAACUGACCUCCUCCUCUCCUCGCUCAUUGAGAGGGUAGAGAGAGAAGAUGCCUCUGGGAGAGCGAUAUGGCUGAGACAAGAGCGAAUCUCGGUGCUGCGGCGCCCGAGAUGGAGGUCGACGACGACAUGCCGAACCUUCUCUCCUUCAACAUCCACGGCGGCUUCGAAUUUGUCCUCGCUACUGUGGCACAAGAUGAUUUUUGUAUGAAUUUCCACAACCAUUAGAUGUCAGACACUUUCAUUGCUCUAGUUCUUCAAGAACUUCUGGGGAAAAUGAAGAUGAUGACACUUUCAUUGCUUACAUGAUGACAUUUCAUACGAUACGACUGAAGAUGAUCUCGACACAAGAAAAGAUAUGUCGAGGAACAACGCUGAUGAAGAUGAUCUCAGCACAAGAAAAGACCUUUUCUGUUGAAGAUGAUCGUGACACGAGUCCAAGGACAUUUGGAGCUCUCUGUUGUAGAGACUAGUCUUGCCUAAUGUAAAUUAGAAUACUAAUGUAAAGACUAUUUUUUUAUUCAAGGAAAUAAAAGUUUUGAUCAAAAUUUGUUACUUCAAAA